rnacentral:lncRNA from 1 species
AUCAGGACUUGGCAACCUACCAGUAUGGUUUGAAGCAGGUGCCACAAAAUUUGACUUCGCCAACACCACAACACUCUUCUUUGUCCAGCUUCUCUUGAUGGGGUAAUUCGACAUCCAACUGAAACAUUUACUCAAAAUUUGUUCGGUAACUCAGAAGUUUUAAAUGGUGUAGAGUGUAAUGACUUGAAACACGGCAUGACUGACCUAUUUCUGUCAUAAAUCUGAUCCUUGACAGGUUUUUCAAAACAAAGAGGUACAUGGAAUCAUGGAUGCAAAUAGUUAUGGGUUGUAGAGUAUAGGCAGUCACAUAAUCCAGAAUCAUGUAUACAUGUCAUGGACCACGAAGCCCAGCCAUGGAUGAGCAGCAGCAGUUCAAUGUCAAUGUCAAGGUUCUUCUAGUUUGAAUCUACAUACAUACAUGCUUUACUGAAUUUUUGCUGCUUGGUCAGACCCUAGUGUUGAAUAAGAUGGACACUGACUGCAUUGUUUGCUAAUUAAUUAUUUUGCUUGCUCCCACAAAAAUUCACUAUAAUCUAGUUUGCCAAUUGGUCUAGUUGGAUUUCUGAAGAUGUUAGCAAAGCUUGCCACACUGCUGCUAAUUGUCAACUGAAUGAAGCUGCAAAAUUUGGAGUUGCUGCUGCUUCUUGUGUUCAUUUCCUUGCUGUCGAAUUUGUACCUGACUAGUCUAGUUAGUACUAUUGCAGCAGGUUGAUUGACGGAAAACUCUUGCCCCUGCUUAACAUAUCUAAAAUCUAGUCAAAUUCAUCAACAACAUAUUUUUACAGCAAAAAAGCAUUCAAUAAGCUGACCUAUCUAUAUGCACACUUUGAGGAAGAAAUAGGAUAUAUAUGUGCUUCUGUUGCUUCUAAAUUAUAUACAUGUAUUUUUAGUUAUUCAACAUGCUUGAAGCUUUUUCUGUUCGAUUUGGUGCAGGAGGAUGCCCGAGCUGACCAGGAGGACACCCUUCUACACCUCGGCCACCACAGAAGGUCGUCCUUCUAUUUUUUUCGCUGUUUGUUCAUGUCCUACUUGUGUUUCAGUUCCAUUGGCUCCUACUUCAAACAGGUCUAUAACAAGUGCUUGUGUUCUGCAUAGUAGCAGAUCUGUUUAUGUGAGCUACAAUGGCCUACUUCUUCCUAAUAAUAUGAAGACUAUCUCAUCUUGCCAUUUUCCCCUCUCUCCUGCAGGUUAACACCUAGAGAGGCUCGAGCUAUCAGCAGUGAGCUGUUGCUGCUGCCGCUGGAUGCUCCAGCGGCGAAACCUCCGUCGAUUCCCUCCAUGGCCACUACCACUACCCUAG